AUUGAACGCUGGCGGCAGGCCUAACACAUGCAUGUCGAACGGUAGCACAGAGAGCUUGCUCUCGGGUGACGAGUGGCGGACGGGUGAGUAAUGUCUGGGAAACUGCCCGAUGGAGGGGGAUAACUACUGGAAACGGUAGCUAAUACCGCAUAACGUCGCAAGACCAAAGUGGGGGACCUUCGGGCCUCACACCAUCGGAUGUGCCCAGAUGGGAUUAGCUAGUAGGUGGGGUAAUGGCUCACCUAGGCGACGAUCCCUAGCUGGUCUGAGAGGAUGACCAGCCACACUGGAACUGGGACACGGUGCAGACUCCUACGGGAGGCAGCAGUGGGGAAUAUUGCACAAUGGGCGCAAGCCUGAUGCAGCCAUGCCGCGUGUAUGAAGAAGGCCUUCGGGUUGUAAAGUACUUUCAGCGGGGAGGAAGGCGGUGGAGUUAAUAACUUCACCGAUUGACGUUACCCGCAGAAGAAGCACCGGCUAACUCCGUGCCAGCCGCCGCCGUAA
rnacentral:rRNA from 1 species